UAUCGGGUCUGACUGGGGUACGUGGAGAUUCAAUCAUUCAAACAUUCUAAUUUAACGGUAAAUAAACCCAAAGUCGCGGGACACAAAGCAAGUUACCUGCUAUGGAAUGAACACAGAACAAUCAGCACUAGAACGAGCCGACAGAGACGUUUUGUGACGAUACGAAGGUGUGCGCACGUUCGGUGUUCACAGCGUCUGCUACUUCAGCUACGAUGGAUACGCAGCGAAUCAUGGGUACCGACCUGGAAAAUUUUCCCAGCCCGCUGCAGCGGCGGAGGUGGCGAUCUUCGGGGAAGCGACCUUGGAACCCUUUUCGGCCCGCUGCGACGAGUCCCUUUGUAAAGCCGACAAUGCGCCUUCUCGUACAGCCCAGCGGCGCCGGCGGGGCUAGCCGUUGGGCGGACCAAGUAUUGUUGGUUGAUGCGCUGUCGCGUUCUCGGUUUGCUUGGAGCGGGGGAACUCCCGGCAGGGGAUGUUUUCCGGUGCUUUCCCACGGGCCCAAGAAGUCGCAGUCAAUAGACAGACGCGGCGGCCACUGACUGCAGGGUCAGCUUUGGGAUCAAGAGGCGCCUGCUCCGGUCAAGACCUCUGUCUAUAGGAACCCUCUCACCUCGAUGCGCUCAGUGAAACCAAAGUGCGGAAGUGAGUUUGUGAACGUUCCCCCUCAAAGGCCGGUUGACUCCGAUGACUUUGGAUGCUCCCAUUGGUCGAAGGUUAACAACUGAACGGCCGUUUUCCCUCACCUAGGGAUCUAGGGAAGACAGAGCAUUUUUAAGCAGCUGAUUAGCGGCUGUUCAGUGUACAUUCCAUUUCAGUCCUGUUAGACUGAUGAACUGUGAUGUUCACCACUCUUCAUGUAGAUAUUGUAAAUAAAUCGCAUAUUCCUCGUU